rnacentral:lncRNA from 1 species
AUAAUUUUUGUAGCAUGUAUGAAAAUGUAUUCCUCAUUAAAUUGUGUAACCAUCAAAUUGCUUCAUUUAAUCUUGAUGAGAUGAGUUAGUUGAAUAUUUUGACUUGUGUAAAGAAGAAAAUUUUUCUGAAUAUGCAAUAUCAGCUGUAUCAAAAUUUGAUUCAGUCAUUAACAACCUCUCAAAAAACUUAUCAGAAGCUUUUGGACAUUUGGUCCUGCUUUAUGAGAACCAAAAAAAAUGGGCAUAGGAGAAAUUUUUUUGUCAUUGUACCUCCUCUCAGACAAUUUCGCUGAGGAAUCUAUAUCCACUAAAGAAAAACUUUCAAGGAAAAAUAAAGUUGGAGCAGCUUUUAGACGGAUGAUGUGUGUGUGUGGUUUUGCUAAAAGAUUAGUAUCUUUCAAAAAGUAUAGUGAGUGUCGACUAUAUAUAUUUGUUUUAUCUGCUCUUAAUGGUCCAGGUAUGCAAUUCCUUUAAAUAUCAAAUUGUAUGAAUAUUUAUGUUUUGAGUUCCUUUAUAAAUUCAGUAAUUUGUUGAAUUUGAUCAUGAUAUUUAAAAAUAUUUCAUAAUU